rnacentral:rRNA from 1 species
GAUGAACGCUGGCGGCGUGCCUAAUACAUGCAAGUCGAGCGAACAGACGAGGAGCUUGCUCCUCUGACGUUAGCGGCGGACGGGUGAGUAACACGUGGAUAACCUACCUAUAAGACUGGGAUAACUUCGGGAAACCGGAGCUAAUACCGGAUAAUAUAUUGAACCGCAUGGUUCAAUAGUGAAAGACGGUUUUGCUGUCACUUAUAGAUGGAUCCGCGCCGUAUUAGCUAGUUGGUAAGGUAACGGCUUACCAAGGCGACGAUGCGUAGCCGACCUGAGAGGGUGAUCGGCCACACUGGAACUGAGACACGGUCCAGACUCCUACGGGAGGCAGCAGUAGGGAAUCUUCCGCAAUGGGCGAAAGCCUGACGGAGCAACGCCGCGUGAGUGAUGAAGGUCUUCGGAUCGUAAAACUCUGUUAUUAGGGAGGAACAAAUGUGUAAGUAACUAUGCACGUCUUGACGGUACCUAAUCAGAAAGCCACGGCUAACUACGUG